GAGCCGUUGGAUGACUGAAUACAAAGCCACAAACAAACCCUACAAAACCCUAAUUUUUCACCAUCCAUCUUUUCAGACUGCUUCUGAUUCUCAAGACUCCUAUCUUCUCCACUGAUCACAGGGGCCACUCUCGGUGAGUAGAAGCUAUUUUCCGUUUGGUUCCUUAGAAAAUAGGGUAGGAAAUGCAUAAUUUUGGAUUAUAUUACGGUUUAUGUGGGUUUGUUUUGGUUCCUACUCGAAUGAAGUUGGUGGAAGUGAUUGUUUCUUGUUGAUUUCCGAGAAAAUAGAACAGCAGUUGAAAGACUUUUGAUCUUGUUACGUUUUAUGCUGUUCUGGUUUGGUUCCUAAACGAAUGAAAAUGUUCAUUUAAACCGAGAGAUUUCAG
rnacentral:lncRNA from 1 species